ensembl:snoRNA
GUGUUUUUUUAAGGCUGACACAGUGCUUUCAGAGACUAACACAGAAAGGUAAAGUAAGUCUCUAUAACAGAGAAGAAAUUGUCAAAUUCUUCUUUGGAUCCUAUUUGGUUACAUAGCU